CCACCUGGAUUCUAUGGAGUGAACUGUGACAAAGCAAACUGCUCAACCACCUGCUUUAAUGGAGGGACCUGUUUCUACCCUGGAAAAUGUAUUUGCCCUCCAGGACUAGAGGGAGAGCAGUGUGAAAUCAGCAAAUGCCCACAACCCUGUCGAAAUGGAGGUAAAUGCAUUGGUAAAAGCAAAUGUAAGUGUUCCAAAGGUUACCAGGGAGACCUCUGUUCAAAGCCUGUCUGCGAGCCUGGCUGUGGUGCACAUGGAACCUGCCAUGAACCCAACAAAUGCCAAUGUCAAGAAGGUUGGCAUGGAAGACACUGCAAUAAAAGGUACGAAGCCAGCCUCAUACAUGCCCUGAGGCCAGCAGGCGCCCAGCUCAGGCAGCACACGCCUUCACUUAAAAAGGCCGAGGAGCGGCGGGAUCCACCUGAAUCCAAUUACAUCUGGUGAACUCCGACAUCUGAAACGUUUUAAGUUACACCAAGUUCAUAGCCUUUGUUAACCUUUCAUGUGUUGAAUGUUCAAAUAAUGUUCAUUACACUUAAGAAUACUGGCCUGAAUUUUAUUAGCUUCAUUAUAAAUCACUGAGCUGAUAUUUACUCUUCCUUUUAAGUUUUCUAAGUACGUCUGUAGCAUGAUGGUAUAGAUUUUCUUGUUUCAGUGCUUUGGGACAGAUUUUAUAUUAUGUCAAUUGAUCAGGUUAAAAUUUUCAGUGUGUAGUUGGCAGAUAUUUUCAAAAUUACAAUGCAUUUAUGGUGUCUGGGGGCAGGGGAACAUCAGAAAGGUUAAAUUGGGCAAAAAUGCGUAAGUCACAAGAAUUUGGAUGGUGCAGUUAAUGUUGAAGUUACAGCAUUUCAGAUUUUAUUGUCAGAUAUUUAGAUGUUUGUUACAUUUUUAAAAAUUGCUCUUAAUUUUUAAACUCUCAAUACAAUAUAUUUUGACCUUACCAUUAUUCCAGAGAUUCAGUAUUAA
rnacentral:lncRNA from 1 species